rnacentral:rRNA from 1 species
GAAAUGCGAUACCUGGUGUGAAUUGCAGAAUCCCGCGAACCAUCGAGUCUUUGAACGCAAGUUGCGCCCGAGGCCUCUUGGCUGAGGGCACGCCUGCCUGGGCGUCACGCCAAAUACGCUCCCACCACCUAAUCGGGUAGUAGGAUGCGGCUUGUGGCUCUCCGUCACGCAAGUUACGGUGGGCCGAAGAUGUGGCUGCCGGCGUAUCGUGUCGGACACAGCGCGUGGUGGGCGACCUCGCUUUACUUACCGCAGUGUAUCCGACCCGUAGCCGACGUGAUGGCCUCGAAUGACCCAAUGGACGGAGCGCAUGACGCUUCGACCGCGACCCCAGGUCAGGCGGGACUACCCGCUGAGUUUAA